CGAGAGUGGAGUUCAGCUCCUUUCUCUACUUUUUUUUGGUCUGAUGGCACAUAUUUAUUGUUCUGUGGUCUAAUCACAGUGUUUCUAAAUGUAAAAAGUGCAUAUGUUGGUGUAGCUAGUCCCGCGACAUUGAGCUCCUCUGCAUGAAGACACUGGGCUCCUGCAUCCAGCUGUUUUUAUUGCAAACUAGCUCCUUUCUCCCACACUGGGAACUUUAGUCCACGAGGCUGUCACCACCCUGGUAGCACUGGGCCAGGCUUUGUAGCUCCUGCAGCAGCUCUGCUACGUCAUCGUGCUCCACUCCAGCAUCCAUGAAGCUGGCCCAGCGCCGCAAGUCGAGUUUGGUGAGGUCUCUGGCCAAGGCUUCCAGGGUCUGGUGCAGGGACGAAGAGGAACACAGUGCCCCAAACACUGGGAUGCUCUCCACUGCUGUGGAGGGAGAGGAAACAGAGACCUGUAGAUGGAUGAUUAUUCUGCCCUGGGACUCUGCCAAACUGAUAAGGAAGUCCAACCUUAGUAGACUUGAUUGUAAACUCAACAAAUUUGGUGUAUUGUCCCCUUAGUACACCAGUACUCCAGAGGAAGAAUGCUUUUCUUGGGAGCCAUAGGGUGAAUAAAGGAAUGUUUAACUGUGGACUUUUUCAGCACUUUUAAUCCAGGAAUGGAGAUAGUAAAAACUCUCCCAUACUUGAAAUCUCAGUUUUCUUCACCUCCUACAUACCUGCUCCCUUGGGGGAACCAUCCAGAACCAUACCCGGUGGACUGCAGCUUGAGAAGAGGUGGGGAAGCUCAGCAUGUCAGCCAGAUGAACCAUGGAAACUGGAGAGGAACACAGGCGAUAAGGAACAGUGACUGUGUCCAGGGCUGUAGCCAGGAUGGCACUGCAGUGGAAGG
rnacentral:lncRNA from 1 species